AUAGCAAAGCCUCAAACUAAAACUCACGGACACAAGACGGCAACGGAUCAAGACUCUCUCAGCUCUCAUGGCUCCAUUUCUGCUCCUGUUGCUCAUUCUGUCUGAAGCAGCUCCUGACCUUACUAUAGUAACAGUUGAUCCUGGAGAAUGUCAUUCAGGCUGGCAAUGUCUCCAUCCUCUAUUGCAGCGAUGGACACUUGGAUCCAACCCACCAGCUUCCAUCCUUUAAGGACAGGGUGGACCUGGUGGACAGAGAUCUGAAGGACGGAGACGUGUCUUUAAUUCUGAAGAAUGCGAGCAGCCUCGACAAAGGAACAUACGGGUGUCGAGAUGCAUCAGGUGAUUCAAGACGUAAAAAGAGAGCAAUUAUUGACUCUGAGCCAAUCAGAACCAUCGAACUGCAGGUCACAGUCCCAGGUCAGACGAUACAAGGAUGAAAACUCAAUGAAUGAUGUCCCUGAGGAUGGAAACUCCUCUCCUGCAGGCCGAUACUGUGGACUGGCAGCAGGUGUUCCAGUAGGAGUGAUUCUUGUAGCUGCUGCAGCGGUUGGUGUCCUGACAUAUAAAAGACGUAAGAACAAGAGAUCAGGACCGCCUGCUGCUGAUGAUGAUAGAGCAUUGGCCAUUCAGUUCAUCUGACAAUUCACAGACCAGAGGCCUGUACUACGAAGCAAGAUUUGGCAUU